AAUAGCUAUGGCUGUUGUCAUAAACGUCAGAAAGACAAACAUCAAGUACGCUGCGGAACAUCGGCAGACAAUUAACAUCUACAAUACAAAACAAUAAAAAUCUCCAUAAAUGUGACAAACUCAAUAACUUCAUUAUGGACUAACCCAUGUAACGUGGUAACGGCUGGCAAGGCAACAGUGGAUUCGGCGGAGGACUGCCCUCUAUUGGUGUUGCACGCUCUUCUAAUGCCGGCUGGUCUGGCUCCGGAGGUGGACUGUACCGGUCUUCCUUCGGUAAUGGAGCAAGGAGCGGAUGGCGCGGAAAUGCUGCAUUCGGAUCCAACGGCCGAAGACAAGAUAUAGAUUUAAAUGGAGGCGAAAGAAGACGUUCCGACAACGGAUGGAAAGCGAGUGGCUUCGGGUCAAACGGUGGGCUCGCCGGAAAAUAUACCAGGUCGAAUGCUGGGUGGAAUGCCAAUUUCGCAAAUUUUGCUGAACCGGAAAGGCUAGAUUCAUCGAAUGGUUGGGACAGCACUGGCGGAGGCUUCUCAUCCAACGGCUGGCAGUCCUCGAGCUGGUAGAACGCAGAAAAGUGCAUUUGAUACUGAGUGCCGUUCUAUUUUUCUUCCUGUUUGCCUGUUUAGACAAUUAACCGGACCUUUCUGUAUAAAUGACAAUGAUAUUUAAAAAGCAUCCAUUAAAAUAAAUUUGAAUAUUCA